ensembl:lncRNA
AUCUCGGGCAUCUCCAUUUGGUCUGUUUCUUUUCCUUUGUUGGCUUGUACUUAGAUUGCGGAACCGUUUCCUGGACGACCAUUGGACAUAAUCGUUUGUGCUGAGACGUGCUCGCUCCUGGCGGUGGCAGAUCCGACAGGGAAACCACCGUUUCUGCUGCCAGCUUACUGAGCAUCUUGACAAAGAGGGUGACCGAGGAAAGAGCACUAGCCCUGCCCUCCCGGCCCCCAAGGUCAGCGGGUCUCCAGGCACGAGAAGGUUUUCUAGGCGGGGCAAGGGGAACAGGAUGACACACCUUCCUGGCCCCGGAGACAAAUGCAGGGGAGAAAUGUCAUCACGUGCAGUUUAUGACAGUAACCCAAGGGAAGAGGUGAGAUGACAUGUGAGUGUGAGCUUGCGAGGGAGCCGUGGGCCGGCACAGUGACCGAUGGCCUACCCGCUCAG